rnacentral:tRNA from 1 species
AUCUUUCUAGUAUUAAUUUAGUACAAAUGACUUCCAAUCAUUUAGUCUUGGUCAAAUUCCAAGGAAAGAUA